ACCCAGCUGUGGGGGGCCGGCGAGGCCCAGCUGCCCUCCGAAGUGUCGAACCUGCCCUCCCAGAACCCCAUCCUGAAGAACAUCACCGACUACCUGAUCGAGGAGGUGAGCGCG